rnacentral:rRNA from 1 species
UACAGGGGGUGCAAACGUUGCUCGGAAUCAUUGGGCGUAAAGCGCACGUAGGCGGUUCGUUAUGUCGGAUGUGAAAGCCCUUGGCUUAACCGAGGAAGUGCAUCCGAAACUGGCGAGCUAGAGUACUAAAGAGGAUCGCGGAAUUCCCGGUGUAGAGGUGAAAUUCGUAGAUAUCAGGAGGAACACCUGUGGCGAAGGCGUCCAUCUGGCCCGUUACUGACGCUGAUGCGCGAAAGCUAGGGGAGCAAACGGG